AAAAAAAAAAGAAAAGAAGUUAGUAAGGAUCUUAAAAUAUUUUUAUCCCCAUAGAUGUUCAGCAAGUACGUAGAAAAGAAAAAAAAGAAAAAAGAAAAAAUCAUCACAUGCCUCAUUUGUUCACAAGCUUCUACGCUAUGUUAUGUGAAUAAUCCAUUAAAAAUAAUAUUCAUGAGUAAACUACCAAAUUUCCCAAUGUUAAAGAAAUGAAUGGGUUCAUGUAUGAGCAUUUACACAAUGGCCAUGUCUGUGUGUGUGACAGACAUUCAUGGUUAAUACUAAGCAGUGUUAUUCCACAUUGCUUGGGCCUUAGAAGCAGCCCGAGUAACUCAGCCAAGUGCGAGGCUGAGUGGACUAGGUCUGUGCAUGACCCAAAAGCCCCUUGAAAAAAAUAUUUCUUUAAAAUGCUAAUAAAUAAAAUAAAAUAUUUAAACCUGAAACAAAACUAAAAACAACAUGUAAGGAAUCCAAAUAAGCUCAAAAGACUAUAACAAAUUGGAUUACAAAAUAUGGUUUAGGGUUGGAGAUUCCAGAAAAUCCAACAAAAAAAUUACAAAAACAGGGCAUUUGACAAUAAAAAGUCACAAACCAUUGUAAAGCAUAUCCAAAUUACAUAUACAUAAAUUGAUCCCACAAGUUUAUAUAAUUCUCAUGUUUGUUUCGUUCUUUAAUGUACCCUUGUUGUACCUUGGAACUAACGCAGGCCAAAAUCUAAUAGAACCAAUGCCAUGAACUAGAAAGAAGAAUUAAUAGAUGUAAAAUUCAUGAAACCAUCAAAUCCAGACAGUUCAAAAAAGGGGAGACGAGAAAUGACAUAUUGGUGUUGUCAAUACGAGUUGACCUUUGUUUUGCAUGGCAUCUCUUCAGGGUGUGCAUCCUUGUUGAGGCGUUGUUGAACCUCAUUUGACUGAUGAUGUUUAUGACCCUCUUGGGUGAGAGUUUUAGACGCCAGUGAGUGAGAGGUGAGGGUAUGGGGAAUGGUAGCAUAAAUGACACUGCAGUGACAGUUUUGAGUUGUGGUGGCACUUGUGCGUGAGUGCCAUUGACAAAAAGAGUUUCUGAUAAUUACGGAGGAUCCGGAUGAUAUGCACUAAGUGAUUGUAGGAAAGAGCAGUAGGCCCAUGUGACUGAAAUUGAAAGCUUUAGGUAUUGUGUGUCUACCUUCUGGAUGGUUUUUUUUUGGCUCAACACUGCCUCAUUAUCAUGUCAGAUUGGUCACUCAACAAUUUGUUGAAAAUUUGCUUGGUAGUAUGAUGAAAAAAGGCAUCGUCUUUCGGUUGAUAAAUUUCUAAUGGAAAUGCAAUUUCAUGUGUAGUCUUGAAAAAGAGAAAAGAAGUUAGUAAAACUUGGUCCCCAUUAUCGGAAUAGAUACAUAGAAUAUGAUGCCAUAAUAGGGAAUCUUUU
rnacentral:lncRNA from 1 species